GCACUGCUGAGGAGUCCCACAAUAGGAUUGAAACGGCCGUCCAGUGC
rnacentral:hammerhead_ribozyme from 1 species